rnacentral:misc_RNA from 1 species
AAAACGUACUUCCGGGCAGUUGCUGCAAUAAUGGCGCUAUCAAUAAUAUACUGGGCUCGAUAUGUAGAUGGCCAUACAAAGCUUACUAGGAAGAGCGAGAAAGCCGUGGAUAGCGACAGGGUGCUAAAGUUCGUUUUAGACAAAGAAUAUCACGUGAUAUCGGCGGUGGUUCAAGCUUCAAUGCGAGACACUUCAUACAAAGUUCAGAUAUUUCUGGAAAAUGAAGAUGAUGAUGCAGGAACAAUUAUAUCAUCAACCUGUGAAUGCCCUAUGGGUCAGUUUCGCUGCCACCAUGUAGCUGCUGCACUUCUGUUUGGAUAUAAAAGAGCAAGUAAGACAGAUGUGAAGUGCAGCUGGAUCAAGCAUCCAAAAUCGGCACCUCCCAAAUCCACAACAACCAUGGCGGAAAUGUAUCCACCCAGGCAACAAGAUUAUAGCUAUGCAUUGGAUUUUGUCUAAAGAACCUGAAUGUGAGGAAAUGCCAGCAUUACUUAUUGAGGACCAGCUUACAAGUGAAGAGUACAUGAAUGCCCAGUGCAAGUCUUCAUAUCUGAGACUGCAUGGAUGACUACAGGUCAACGAGAGAAUUCGUUAUGGGCAGCUGUUCGCAAGUUACGAAUAACUGCAUCAAAUUUUGGGCAAGUUAUCGGAGCUAUCAGGAGAAAUCGGCUAACUUUAUCCUUGAAGAAAAGGUUACUCAGUGCUUACAAUCUUGAGAAGAGACCUUCUAUUCAGUGGGGACUUACACAUGAAAAGGUUGCAAUAGAUAGCUAUUGUAAGCUUUCAGAGGUGUCUGUAUUGCAGACAGGUAUUUGGCUCCAUGAAUCAGGAGUUCUUGGAGCUUCUCCUGAUGGAUUUGUCCAGGGUGAUCCUAAAACGUGUAAUAUGAAUGUCCACCUUCAAAGUAAACUGACAGCAUCACCAGCAAUUUUAGAGGUGAAAUGUCCGUUUUCAGCAAGAGCGAUGUCCAUAAAGGAUGCUUGUGCAAACUUGAAAGAUUUUUUUCUAGAGUGCGACUCUGAGGGCACUUUGCGUCUCAAAGAGAGCCAUGACUAUUGGCAUCAAGUUCAAGGCCAACUUUAUCUAACAGGAACUUCAUGUUGUGAUUUCGUGGUUUGGACACCAGUCAGUAUGGAAGUUAUUCGCAUUCUUAAAGAUGACUCAUGGCAAUGCCACUUGAAAAACAUGAUUGAAUUUUAUUUCAAUGUUUUUUUACCCUCUCUUAAUUAAAAACUUGGCAGACUGUAAUUCAGAAAUUUUCUAUUUACUGUUUAUUUUCCUAUUGAUACACUAAAUUACUCUAGACAAA